UACAGAGGGGGCAAGCGUUGUUCGGAAUUACUGGGCGUAAAGGGCGCGUAGGCGGCCUUCUAAGUCGAACGUGAAAUCCCUGGGCUCAACCCAGGAACUGCGUCCGAUACUGGAAGGCUUGAAUCCGGGAGAGGGAUGCGGAAUUCCAGGUGUAGCGGUGAAAUGCGUAGAUAUCUGGAGGAACACCGGUGGCGGAGGCGGCAUCCUGGACCGGUAUUGACGCUGAGGCGCGAAAGCCAGGGGAGCAAACGGG
rnacentral:rRNA from 1 species